rnacentral:rRNA from 1 species
CCGAUGAAGGACGGGACUAACACCGAUAUGCUUUGGGGAGCUGUACGUAAGCUAUGAUCCAGAGAUUUCCGAAUGGGGGAACCCAACAUCUUUAAUAGGAUGUUACGAUUGUGUGAAUACAUAGCACAUUCGAGGUAGACGCAGAGAACUGAAACAUCUAAGUACCUGCAGGAAGAGAAAGAAAAUUCGAUUCCCUGAGUAGCGGCGAGCGAAACGGGAAAAGCCCAAACCAGCAAGCUUGCUUGUUGGGGUUGUAGGACUCCAAUAUGGUAGUUCUUUCAGAUAGUCGAAUGACUUGGAAAAGUCAGUCAAAGAGGGUAAAAACCCCGUAGACGAAAUGUGGAAGACACCUAGGAGGAUCCUGAGUACGGCGGAACACGAGAAAUUCCGUCGGAAUCCGGGAGGACCAUCUCCCAAGGCUAAAUACUCCCUAGUGACCGAUAGUGAACCAGUACCGUGAGGGAAAGGUGAAAAGCACCCCGGAAGGGGAGUGAAAUAGAACCUGAAACCGUGUGCCUACAACAAGUCAAAGCCCGUUAAUGGGUGAUGGCGUGCCUUUUGUAGAAUGAACCGGCGAGUUACGAUUGCAUGCGAGGUUAAGUUGAAGAGACGGAGCCGCAGCGAAAGCGAGUCUGAAUAGGGCGUUUGAGUAUGUAGUCGUAGACCCGAAACCAUGUGAUCUACCCAUGUCCAGGUUGAAGGUGCGGUAAAACGCACUGGAGGACCGAACCCACGUACGUUGAAAAGUGCGGGGAUGAGGUGUGGGUAGCGGAGAAAUUCCAAACGAACUUGGAGAUAGCUGGUUCUCUCCGAAAUAGCUUUAGGGCUAGCCUCGGAAUU